GGAGAAAUGUCAGAGUGGUCGAAUGUGCUUGUCUCGAAAACAAGUGUACUAACCGGUACCGGCGGUUCGAAUCCGCCUUUCUCCGCCA
rnacentral:tRNA from 1 species